rnacentral:rRNA from 1 species
GACGAACGCUGGCGGUGUGCUUCACACAUGCAAGUCGAACGAGGUAGCAAUACCUAGUGGCGGACGGGUGAGUAACGCGUGGGAAUCUGCCUUUAGAUGGGGGAUAACGGGUCGAAAGACUCGCUAAUACCGCAUAUGACGAAAGUUGAAAGGAGUAAUCCGUCUAAAGAUGAGCCCGCGUCCGAUUAGCUAGUUGGUAGAGUAAAAGCCUACCAAGGCGACGAUCGGUAGCUGGUCUGAGAGGAUGAUCAGCCACAAUGGGAACUAGAGACACGGCCCAUACUCCUACGGAGGCAGCAGUGGGAUUUACGCAAUGGCGAAAGCCUGACGUAGCGACACCGCGUGAGCGAAGAAG